rnacentral:rRNA from 1 species
UGGGGAAUAUUGCACAAUGGGCGGAAGCCUGAUGCAGCGACGCCGCGUGGGGGAUGAAGGCCUUCGGGUUGUAAACUCCUUUCGACAGGGACGAAGCUUUUGUGACGGUACCUGUAUAAGAAGCACCGGCUAACUACGUGCCAGCAGCCGCGGUAAUACGUAGGGUGCGAGCGUUGUCCGGAAUUACUGGGCGUAAAGAGCUCGUAGGUGGUUUGUCGCGUCGUCUGUGAAAUUCCGGGGCUUAACUCCGGGCGUGCAGGCGAUACGGGCUGACUUGAGUGCUGUAGGGGAGACUGGAAUUCCUGGUGUAGCGGUGAGAUGCGCAGAUAUCAGGAGGAACACCGAUGGCGAAGGCAGGUCGCUGGGCAGUAACUGACGCUGAGGAGCGAAAGCAUGGGUAGCGAACAGG